AGAAGAGACAGCACAGCUGUGCCUCAUAAUCAUGAACCCAUACAAUCACAGAAAAAGGGCAAUGAGUGGUUACCCAGUGCCUUCUUUAUUACCAGGUGAUGGAGUUGUGACAUGGUAAUAUUAACCAGGCACUCUGUGCCAAACCGUUUUUUGUGACUUCCCAUGGAUUUCUUCCAACACCGCCUGUUACCUGUGGCACAGAAUCAAGAAGCAAAUAGUUCCUCACCUCUAAGGAAUAAGAGGAACAGGCAGCAUUAGUAUAAAUGACUCAUUGUCAUUAAGUUUUGGAGGAGGUGCUUCCUGUAUCCUAGCCAUGGAACUGUGGCUAAAGAAAUGAUUCUGUUAGCCAGGUACUGUUAAUGGUACAACUUGAGAGAUAAUAGUAUCUUCUUUUUUAUUUAGUCACAUGAUGUUCCACAUGUGUGUUGUGUGUUGAGUUCCUGGGCCAUGAUAUGCUACUAUAUACUCCAGAAUAAAUAGAAGAAGUAAAGUCAUGGACCCUUAGUUCUCUUAUUUCAAGAAUUUACAGUCUGGGGGAAACUGAGAAACAGAUUGCAACUCAAAACCCAGAGAAAUGAACUAAUGUUUUUCCAUACCCUCUUCUGGUGAUACCAUGCUCCGCUCUUGUUAUCUCAUUUAGGGCUCCUAACUUGGUUGUAUAAGCUUUAUUGCCCCAGUUUACUCACCCUGGCCACAUAGGUAGUGCUUUUGAAAUCCAUUUCCUUGUUCUAGAGGGAAUUUAAGAUUGAUUCUAAGAACAUACAAAAAAGCACUUACGAAAAAUACAAGUCUAAUUCCUGUGUUUCUUUUGGAUCCAGCUUUUGGUGAAGGGCUAUUAGAAUAAUCUUGGAAUAUCCAAGGAAUUCUUUCCUUGCUCUGAAUUCCUACACUUACAUUGGCUUAUUUCACUCUCAUUGUAACAUCUGUCUUCUACCCAUAACUAGAUUAUUCUCUCUGAGGGCAAAAAUCAUGUUUCCCAUCAAAAAUACCUAUUUUACUUGCCUAGUACACAGCUAGGUGAACAGAAAGUAAUUAAUACAUGUUUCUUUGAUAGAUGGAACAGUAGUUGGAACAAUGCAGAUGCUGAAGAAAUACCCUAGAUGGAAAUUAUGAGAGUGUAGAUAGUGAUAAACAUUGAGAAGAGGAUGUGAGAACGCAUUCUUACAGUGGAAGACUAACCCGGGUAGAACCAAAUGGAGUCAAGAGGGAGGGGGUGUAGUGAAAACAACAUUGACUCAGGAACCCUGGUUUCUAUUAGUGUCAGUUAAUAGCUGUGUGACCUGUGAGAAAAUAACCUUAAACACCCUAGACCUUUUGUCCUUCAUUUGAUUUAUCUUCCUGUUUACUCCAUCAUGGAGGGAGUGGAGGGGAAUAUGAGGUUCAAAUGAGAAUGUGAGUGUGAAUGUCCUUUGUGAAUUAUGUAUCACGCUACCAGUUAGGAUGUGUGCAGCUGAAAAUAAUAUUAUGCCAGUUACUGUUUGGGAACAGGUUUAUAUCACAUAACAAGAAGUCCCAGGUUCGCUGACGCAGCAGUAUUUAGAGCCCAGGUGCUUCCUUUCUUUCUAUUCUGCCAUCCUUUGUACAUUGUGACAGAGACUAUAUGGGCUGUAUCAUAAAUUUUUUCUCACUCGGAAAUUAUAUAUUAUAUAUCCGUUCUUUUUUGGAGUAAAUAUAUAUUGGCACAUUCCAAUAUAAGUUAAAUUUCUAACAAACAUUUAAUCCUCUCUUAUUGGCCAUGCUUUUCAAUUACUUUUAAUUAAAGUCUAAGAGGUUUCUCAAAGUCAUAUCCUAGAUGGUGAAGGCUCUAGUAGUUUAAACAUGGAACUGACAUUCCCUUUGCCAGGAAAGUAGUUUAAACAUGGAACUGACAUUCCCUUUGCCAGGAAGUUUAAUCAUAGCUUAUUUACGUUGAACCAUAGCCUCUUGUGACAGCAUGCUCUGCUUUGCUUGUUAUCUCAUUUAGGACUCAUAACUCAGUUGUAUAAGCUUUAUUGCCCCAGUUUACUUGCAUAUGUUUAAGUUGAGCCAUAGCCUCUUGUGGUGACACCAUGCUCUUUGAUGGGAAAGGUGAUUUUUGCCUUCAGAGAGAAUAAUCAAGUUAUGGGUAUAAGACAGAUACUACAAUGAGAGUGAUAUAAGCCAUUGUAAGUAUAGGAAUUCAGAAAUGAGGAAAUAAUUCCUUGGAUAUUCCAAGGGUAAGAUUAUUCUAAAUAUAAGUUUAAGCAUAAGCAGUGUAUAGGGUACAUUUACUUUUGUUUGCGGGCUUGUCUCCUUGUGGUGACAAGAUGGCUCUCACAGCUCUAUCCUUACACAUUCUUUUCAAAUGCAGGACACACAGUUUUACCUCCUGGGUUUCUCUUUAUUUGAGAGAAAAGAAACUCUCCCCAGAAAGUCCCCCAGCAGACUCUUUAUGUCAGUGUUCCAGAGUUGCUUUGCAUGCUUAUGAUUAAACUUCCUGGCAAAGGGAAUGUCAGUUCUGUGUUUAAACUACUAGAGCCUUCGCCAUCUAGGAUUUGGCUUUGAGAAACCUCUUAGACUUUAAUUUAAAGCAAUUGAAAAGCAUGGCCAAUAAGAGAAGAUAAAAUGUUUAUUUUGUUAGAAAUUUAAUUUAGAUUGGAAUGUGUUAACAUAUGUUUACUCUAAAAAACAAUGGAUAAAUAAUAUAUAAUUUUAGAGUGAGAAAAAUUUAUUAUACAGGCCAUACAGUUUCUGUCACAACUAUUUAACUCUACCAUUGUAGGACAAAAGUAGCCAUAAACGGUACAACACGUAACCAUAUGGGCCUGUGUUCCAGUGAAGCCUUAUCUCUAAAAACUCUCGUGAACCAUAGGUAAUCCCUGUUUUAAGCUCUUGCUACUCACAAUGUGGUUGGUGCACCAGCAACAUCAGCAUCAGCCAGGCUUGUUAGAAAUGGAAAAUCUCUGACCCCAACCCAGGUAUACUGUAUCAGAAUCUGAUUCUAACAGGACCUUGGGUGAUUUUGAGAGCUUACUGCAUUAGAGUAUUGAAGUCUUACCAAUGAGUGUUCUGAAAAUUCCUCCUGAUGGAGCUGUGGAGCGAAAUGCUCUUUGAGGGUUAGACUGUGGUUUGGCGGUCUCCACACCCCUUCCAAUACUCUUCUCACAUGGAGAGACUGGAAAGCUAAAAAGCACUUUUCCUAGACUCAUGUAAGGAAUGCAACUAAGUCUCCUUGAUGGUACUCAGAUAUCCCCAAUACAAAGCACUUAUACAAGAUUGCUUUAGUCACAAGGAGGGCAUGUUCUGAGAGCAGCAGGCCCAUCUGUUUUGGUGGCACACGUUUAGACAAAGGAGAUACGGCUUUGGCAUUGGCAGUCAUAGUGUCAACUUCCUGAUUUGGCUGGUGGCUUUUAUUUGGCAGCUUCCUGAUCCAUCCCAGAAGUAGCAACUCCCUUGGCAGUCCAGUUCUGCAAUGUGGUUUUGAGAAUUGUUCUUGGAACCUUGGCCUGUGUUUCUUGAGUUCUCCUAGUGAUUCUGUAAACUGUUUGUAUCCCUUAAUAAAUCACUCUCUUAAACUAAUCGGGUUGGAUUCUGUUGUCUGCAAUUAAGAAUCUUGACCCAUCCAGAUUCCCUGUGAAUGAUAACAGUUGCUUUAGUUGCAUCUGACUUUCUCUUCUGCUUGGCUGGGCUAACCCAUCAAGGAAUUGAGAUGUCUUUGCAAAGCAUUCCCCUCUAAGGAAGAGUGUCCAGUGGCCCAUGAGAGAGCUGUCUGAUCUACAGUGUGUCAGUAGUUUAAUCAGGCAGAUCUGAUUCUGUGGGAAAGUGAAGCUGUGGCAGAAUCCAGUUCAGAAUCUGCACCUUCCUCAUAGCUGUUUACUGAUUUAAUGUUAUCUGUCUAUUCAAAAAAUACCGAGUGCCCAUCUAUCUUGCACAAAACACCGGGCCACAAGUUGAGGAUACAGAAAUUUGGGUUUUGCCAUCAUCACAUGAGCUUAACAUCUCACUGAGAAUACAGAUUUAAUAGGAAACUAUAAUUUGAAAAUUAAACUUUGAGGGAACAGUUUGUAUAGCAUGCUAGGGGACUUGUUGGCAGAGUAACCAGCCAACUCUGGCACAAAGAUUGGCUCCUAGGAGAAUGUCUGGAUGGUUAUAGACCUGCUCAUUUAAGAUUGUCCCAUUUUGGAGGGACUUUGGGGAUGCAGUAGGUAGUGUAAUGGUGGUCUUAUAUAUGAUAUCCCCACAUAAGGGAGAUUAGAUAGAGGAGGGAUGAAGUAGCUGGUGAGCUUUUCUUUACUGUGAAGCAGAAUUGGGUUCCCACUUUACUGUUGGACCUGUGUUAAUGGGGAAUUAGAAGGAUGUAGACACGUCCUGAAGGGCAGGUAGGAUUUUGUACUUUGCACCCCUAGGCCUAAGAGCACCAGAACCUUUGCCUGGCUCUUUCUGUAGGAACUCAAAGUUUGACUGUUCAAAUAAGUGUGGUAGGGCCAGUUGGUGGCCCUAAACUGAAUAAUUCAGAUUUAAAUCCAGUUGGCCUCUGUAGCUUCUAAGGUGCUUAAGGCAAAAACGGUGUUUGAGACUGGCCAUGCAGUUGUGGAUUCAGACAGAUUGUUACAAGACCUGAAAUUGAGUGAUGAUUAUAGAGUAGAGAGAGAGGAAAAAGUUCAAAGACCUUGUGCAAAGACUUGAUACUUGGCUUUGGGAGUUGUGGUUGGAAUAUCUCUGGCAGUUCUACUUUUGUAGAGCACAUUUGGAUUUGCUGUCUGAUUCAGGAAAGCUGACCUUAUUUGUUGUCACUGUUGCUGUUCUGUUUUUGAGUGUUACAGUUGAGUUAUUCCUGGAUUAUACAAGUGCAGCUAAGAUGUAGAAAACCAGAUGUUUACAACAGAAAAUGCAUUGAGGGAGUAGGAAGGAUAUAGGUUACUGUGCUUACCUUUUGUUUCCUGAAAAUUGCAUACUAUCCUUCUGUAGGUAAAAGGGAGAAUAGCAUGAAAUAGGAAUCAAGUGCUCAUGAAGCAAGGAAGUGAAAGAUGCAGCACAGAUAAUUAAACUACACUCCUCAUAUGCUUAGUAUCUUACCUAGUAGCUCCUCUCGAAGGAAUCCUGAUCUUGAAACUUUAUUCUGUCAAUAAUACUGGAAUAAAGUAUGGGAUCUGAUGAUACGAUUCUUUGACUGCAGGCAAGCUCUGCCUGACAUUCUCAGCCUUAAAGAAUCCUUCCUGACUUUGAGCAAGUAUUUUUUCUGUAGUCAGAGGAGAAUCAUAUCAUCAUAUCCCAUAUUUUAUUCCAGCAUUAUUGAGAGGAUAACGAAAUGUUUGUGAGCUGCUUUGAACAUUAGAGUAAGUAUUCAAAUAAAUAAAAUGUACAAACAAUAAAAAUAAGAGAACAUAUCAUUACAAAAACAGAAACAGUUCAGUGGCUUCCAUCAAAACAGAAUGAAAGAAGUGGUUUUUCCAGUUUUAUAAACAGAGAAUAGACUUGAAAUCAGAGACUUGAAAUGCUGAUAGAUGUUUUUUAUUGUCCUUGAAGGGAAGCCUUUGUAAAUAAAGCACUAUUUAGAGGUUUAUUUCGUUUUCAAGAUGUUUAUGCUUUCAGAUCUGAUUUUUUAUUUGUAAAUGUAGGAGAUUUUAAUAGCCACUUUUUGAAGGGUUUUGUGGAUAAUAACCUCUACACCAAUUAAUUGAAAACCUUCGGUUUUUUCAAAUUGCAGUUAUAAAUUUAGUAUGUUUUGUUUUUAAAGAAUUUCAGUUGUCCUGCUUAAAAAAAAAGCCUUAUAAAGCUCUUCAGUAAAAAAAAGUCUUGUGGAAAACUACUACAAGAAAACACAGGGGGAAGCACUUUAGAACAUUGGUCUGGACAAAGAUUUUAUAGGUAAAACCUCAAAAGCACAGAUAACAAAAGCAAAUACAGACAGAUGGGAUUGUACCAAACUAAAAACCUUCACUGCAAAGGAAACAAUCAACAGUGAAGAGACAGUCUACAGAAUGGGAGAAGAUAUAUGCAAACUAUUCAUUCAACAAGGGAUUACUAUUCAGUAUAUACAAAGAACUCAACUGCAAAAAAAGAAUCCAGUAUUAAAAUAGGCAAAUGAUGUGAAUAGACAUUUAUCAAAAGACAAAAAAUGACCAAUGAAUACAUUGAACAGGGCAGGGAUUAGAGGCAUCAACACCUACCCCCAGACUCCUCUACCCUACUCAAAAAUGUGUAUAUAACCUUUUUUUUUUUUUUUGAGAUGGAGUCUCACUCUGUCAUCCAGGCUGGAGUGCUUGGCUCAUUGCAACCUCCACCUCUGGAGUUCAAGCUACCUGCCUCCUGAAUAGCUGGGAUUACAGGUGAGCACCACCGUGCCCAGCUGAUUUUUGUAUUUUUAAUAUAGACGGUGUUUCACCAUGUUAGCCAAGCUGGUCUGGAACUCCUGACCUCAGGUGAUCUGCCCGCUGCGGUCUCCCAAAGUUCUGGGAUUACAGGGGUGAGCCACUGUGCCUGGCCUAACAAUUGUGUAUUUUCAGAUAGCUACAAGUAAUGAUUUUGAAUGUUCCCAAGACAAAGAAAUAUUUGAGAUGAUGGUUAUGCUAAUUACCUUGCUUUAUUGUCAUUUGUUUGUUUUGAGACAAUCUUGCUUUGUUACCCAGUCUGGAGUGCAAUGGCACAAUUAUGGCUCACUGCAGCCUCUGUCUCCUGGGCUCAGAUGAUCCUUCCAUCUUAGCCUCCUGAGUAGCUGGGGCUCCAGGUACAAGCCCUGCUAAUUUUUAUAGAGGCAGGAUUUCACCAUGUUGCUGAGGCUGGUCUCAAACCCCUGGGCUCAAGCUGUUUGCCCACCUUGGCCUCCCAAAGUGCUGGGAUUACAGCCACAUUAUGCCCGACCAGAUUUAGCAUUAUAUAUUAGAUACAUGUAGCAAAUUGUGACUGCACUCCAUAAAUACGUGCAAUUACUAUGUGUCAGUUAAAAUUAAUAAUAAAAAUAUUUACAGCCAGGCCUGGUGGUGUGGGCCUGUAGUCCCAGCUACUGGGGAGACUGAGGCAAGAGAAUCACUUGAGCCCAGGAGUUCAAGACCAGCCAGAGCAACAUAGCAAAACCCCAUCUUAAAAAACAAAAAGAAAAACAAAGCACAGCCUUUUCAAAGAAAUAUAAAAUUUUAUAAAACACAGGAAAACACCUUUUUUUAAACAAACUCCUGUAAAUCUCAUACAUUACACGUAGAAAUAAGAUGUUUUAGAGUAUUUAAAUAUUCCCAUGCUGUAUAUAAGCUUAUUAAGAUUUUUGACUUCAAAUCAUGCCAGAAAUAAAUUAUUCAACUAUAUUUUUAAAAUUUGAGGCCAAAGGCUUCCAGCCUAAUAGGUGACAUUCUUCUAAGCAUUUCAAAAUCUUAGAAUCUGUCUAGUCUCCUUAACACAAAAAUAUUAUGUGGUAAUAAACAUUAUAAUAUUUAAGGUUAAAAUAUUAUAAAUUAUAAAAUACUUAUUAUUUUAAUUACCUUAAACAUUUUUAUAUUUAAUUCUAAGUAUUUCUAGAAUUGAAAGAUGCUUACCUGCUAAAAAGACUGAGCUUUCCUUUUAAAUGAGACCACGCCUCUUAGGUGACCUGACCGGAUACACUGACCCUGUUCACUUUUGCUUCAUCAUGACUCCAUAACUUCAUAAGGCUGGGGGUCAUUGAGUUCACACACCAUGAAUCAGCAUAGCUAAUUUAUUGCAUCAACGUGAAGGUCACUUUGCUCAUGAAAUCUUUGUGAUUCCUCCCAGUAGGUUCACUGAUGCUGUAUGUUUCCAUUGCAGUCUGUACUUACAGCACUGUUGUAUUGUUCAUGCUUUAUUGAUGUUGCUUGUUUAAUUAUCUGUCUUUUGGGCUAGACUUUAUACUCUGUAUAGUCAGGUACCAUUCUUUCUUUCUUUCUUUUUAGAGACAGUUUCUUGCUCUGUCACCCAGGCUGGAAUGCAGUGAUGUGAUCGUAGCUAACUGUAACCUCAAACUCCUGAGCUCCAGCAGUCUUCCUGCCUCAGCCCCCUGAGUAGCUGGGACUACAGGUGCAUGCCACCGUGCCUGGCUAAUUUAUUGUUAUUAUUUAUUAGAGACAGGGCCUUGCUAUGUUGCCCUGGCUAGUCUCCUAGCUUCCAGCCCCUCCUGCCUCAGCUCCCAAAGUGCUGGGAUUACAGGUGUGAGCCAUUAUACCUGGUCCCCAUUUUUUCUUUUUUGAGAUAAGAGUUUCACUUUCGUCACCCCUGCUGGAGUGCAAUGGCAGGAUCUUGGCUCACUGAAACCUUUGCCUCCUGGAUUCAAGUGAUUCUCCUGCCUCAGCCUCCCGAGUAGCUGGGAUUAUAGGCAUACACCACCAUGCCCGGCUAAUUUUGUAUUUUUAGUAGAGACAGGGUUUCACGACGUUGGUCAGGCUGGUCUCAAACUCCUGAUCUCAGGUGAUCCACACGCCUCAGCCUCCCAAAGUGCUGAGAUUACAGGAAUGAGCCACCGCGCCCGGCCCCAUUUUUUCUUGCGCAUCGUUGAAUCUCCAGUGCUCAACACAUAUCUCAUGUGCUUAAUAGAAUGCUGCAAUUAUUGGCUUAACUAUGAAAACAGCUACAGAAAUGCAACUGCAGCAGGCCCUUUUAGGUUGUCAGAAAUAGACAUAUUCUCCAAAUGCCUUAGUUAAGUGAGAAAGAACAUGACAUCGUCACAGCAACUGCCCAGCCAAGGCUGUACAAAGCUGGAAACUUAGGUCAGAGUGCACAGGCAGGCAUCACUCGUAGCAGGUGGAACAACAGUGGAAAUGCAGAGUUGUUCAAGAAGCCUGGUCACACACCAGUGGCUCCUCCCCUCUCUUCCACUGUGGAGGACCUGCCUGUCUCAUCUCUUCUCAGCCUCCUAGCCUACUGCUUUUGUUUUGUGUUUUUCCUCUCUUAUGCAAAACUUUAACCUGUCUGUUGAUUCUGUCUCACAUUCAGCCUUCCCAAGAGAGGACCUGAUUGGUUUUGCCUAGUGACAACUUCACAUAGUAUGCCCCUUUGGGCAGAGCUGCCAGGCCACAUCAUCAACUUCUGGCCAUUUUGAAAAUGUCUACCUUACCUUUGCAUCAGUUGCUAAUUUUUAAUUCUCUUAGCUGUGCUCAGAGUGGUGAAGCCACAUGCUAUAAAAGCAUGACAACCCAUGGUCAAGUACCAUCUACAGCAGAUUUUCAAGGGUCCUGUGUAUGUAGUAGGAUUAUCUACAAUUUAUAGGAGAAAAAAGGCUGAGGUUGAGUGAUUUGCCACAACAAGUUGUGUUCAGCCUAGUGUACUCAAGGUAAGAUUUGAGUCCAGGACGUCUUUCAUCCCUUGACACUCCUAAUGCUAUGCUCCUUGAACGAUGUCCACCAAAAUGUUUGCAGUGGUUAUCUUUGUGUUAGUUUAUAGAUUAUCAAGUUCUCUGCAUUGAGCAUAUGUUUCUUUUGUUACUAGAAAAAGUUUCUAUAUAAACAUGAAAGGAUUGAGAUUAUUGAGUAGUUUGUCAUGGCAUUGUCAGUCCCAGGUCUUACUAAACUCCACCUGUUCUAAAACUUUGUGCAGCCUAGCUUAAAAUUUUUAGCAUAUUGGCUGAAUUUCAGAAACAGCUAAGUUUGAGCCAUUAGCAACCACAUUUAAGGGGAAGGCUAAAAUAUUCCCUUUUGCAAAUUAGCCUCCAUCUUUUUUAGUUGCUUGUGGUUAAAAUCCUAUUAGAGUGACCCCUUACAGGGUUAGGGGAACAGGCUUGCUCCCAUGGCCUGCCAUGAGCUUUAGUAACAGUGCCUCUUUAGACUAGGGCAGCAAAGGCUGUGUGAGCCAGCCAUGUGAUAGUCUCUCUGUAGUAAAGAAAAGCACCUCUUUUGUAUGAUCUCAGAGCUAUUCUUUUUUGCUAAUUCAGUGAGAAAGGUAAAACUCUUGACUGAUGGGAAGAAAGAGAAGCUGGGUCUGAAACUGUUCUGUCUUCUGUUUAUCUUACAUUCCCAUUUCCUUUACCUCUUCUCACCUCAGCCAUCCCAAGAGUAUUAUCACAAAAAUACAGAACAUCCGCCAGGAGGAAGAGGAGGGAUUGCUCUUACUGUCUCAGGGGCUGCUUCAGAGGUAGAAGUGAAGGAGGUAAAAUAAGAAGCAGGAGAUGCAGGCACACUCAGAUGGUGUAACUUUUACUGGAAAAAAAAACAGGUGAAAAUUAUAUGCCUAAAGGAUAGCCAUUCCUUGGUAUCCAUUCAUUGAUAUUGGCUUCAGGACCCCUGGCGGAUAUAAAAAUCUUUAGAUGCUCAAGUCCCUUAUAUAAAGUGACAAAGUAUUUGCAUAUAACCUACCCAUAUCCUCCCAUAUACAUGAGAUCAUCUUUAGGUUACUUAUAAUACCUCAUGCAAUGUAAAUGCUAUGUAAACCCUUAAACAACAAGGAGUUGUGAACUGCAUGAGUCUGGGUCCACUUAUAUGUGAAUUUUCUUCUGAAGUUACACCAUUACACUGAGUGUGCCUGCCUCUCCUGCUUCCUUUUUUACCUCAUUCACUUUUACCUCUGAGGUGGCCCUGAGACAGCAAGAGCAAUCCCUCCUCUUCUUCCUCUUCUUCCUUAGCCUAUUCAACAUGAAGAUGACGAAGAUAAAAACCUUUACCAGGCUCCACUUCCACUUAAUAGUAAACAUAUUUUCUCUUCCUUAUGGUUUUCUUAAUAACAUUUUCUUUUUCCAGCUUUAUUAUUAUAAGAAUGUAGUAAAUAAUAUAUACAACAUAUAAAAUAUAUGUUAAUCAACUGUUAUUGGUAAGGCUUCUGGUCAGUACUAUACUAUUAGUAGUUAAGUUUUGGGGGAGUCAAAAGUUAUAUAUUUACUGGACAUAGUGGCUUACACCUGUAGUUGCUGCACGUUUGGGAGGCUGAGGCAGGAGGAUUGCUAGAGGCCAGGAGUUUGAGAACAGCCUGGGCAACAUAGGGAGACCCUGUCUCUCCAAAAAAGAAAAAUUAGUUGGGCAUGUUGACACACACCUGUAAUCCCAGCUAUUUGGGAGGCUUAGGAGGGAGGAUUGCUUGAGCCCAGCGUCAAGGCUGCAGUGAUCCCAGUGAGCCAUGAUUGCCCCAGUGCAUUCCAGCCUGGGUGACAGAUCAAGACCCUGUUUGUCUGUUAACAACAACAAAAAAGUAUACACAGAUAUACUUUUGACUCAAUGGGAGUUGGCGCCCUACCCCUGCAUUGUUCAAGGAUCAACUGUAGUUAUACUGUAUUGUUUAGGAAAUACAAGGGAACAAAGUCAGUGUUCAGUACAGAUACAAUUUUUUUUUAAUUGUCAAUCUGCAGUUGGUUGAAUUCAUUGAUGUGUAGUGCACAAAUACGGGGGGCCAACUGUACUUGUAGUCAGCCUGAUAGUUAGCUUGUGACAUAGCCAUUGCUUUUUUUUUUUUUUUUUUUUUUUUUUUUUUGAGACGGAGUUUCGCUUUUGUUAUCCAGGCUGGAGUGCAAUGGCGCGAUCUCGGCUCACCGCAACCUCUGCUUCCUGGGUUCAGGCAAUUCUCCUGCCUCAGCCUCCUGAGUAGCUGGGAUUACAGGCAGGCGCCACCGUGCCCAGCUAAUUUUUUAUAUUUUUGGUAGAGACGGGAUUUCACCAUGUUGACCAGAAUGGUCUCGAUCUCUUGACCUCGUGAUCCACCCGCCUCGGCCUUCCAAAGUGCUGGGAUUACAAGUUUGAGCCACCACGCCCGGCCUAGCCAUUGCUUUUUUAAAACAUGUGUUUAGUUCUCUGUGACUUCGUCACUUACAUCCUAAUAGUACUUCUUUGCUACUCCUCUGGCUCAUACCGCCUAUUUAUUGCUUUGCCAUUUAAUCAACCCAUCUUCAGGGGGUUUUCUGCCCUCCCUCAAGUCUUUGUACAAGUUAUGUACAUACAGUGUCAUACAGAAAAUAAAAAUUGCACAGCAUGUUUGACUUAAUUAACCUGCAUUAAAGAAAGUUUGUAAAAGAAAAAAAGAAAAAUCCAGCAGGUCAUGGACAACUUAAAAAAAAAAAGGUUGAAAGUCUAAAUGCCUUAAUGCAGAAUAAAUGAGGUUACCCUCCUAAUGGCACCUCAGGAGUUCAGAGCUGCUCGAUUGUCUGGCCUUGUUAAUCUGUCUUUGGCAGUCUAUCAAGAAGUAGGCCAGGCACAGUGCUGACACCUAUAAUCCCACCACUUUAGGUGGCUGAGGUGGGCAGAUCACUUGAGGUUAUGAGUUUGAGGGAGGUGUGGCCAAUAUAGUGAAACCCUGUCUCUAAUAAAAAUACAAAAAUUAGCUGGGUAUGGUAACGCAUGCCUGUAGUCCCAGCUACUUGGGAGGCUGAGGCAGGAGAAUCACUUGAACCUGGGAAUCAGAGGUUGCAGUGAGCCGAGAUCACCCCAUUGCACUCUAGCCUGGCUGUCAUAGCGAGACUCCAUCUCAAAAAAAAAAAAGCAAAAAAAGUUGUUUUAACUCAUCUUGAUCUCAUUUGUAUUUUCUUUCUUUCUUUUUUUUUUUGACACAAUCUUGCUCUGUUGCUUAGGCUGGAAUAUAGUGGCGCGAUCUCAGCUCACUGCCACUUCCACCUCCGUAGCUUGAGUGAUCCUCCUACCUUGGCCUCCCGAGUAGCUGGGACUACAAGUAAGCAUGCACCACCACACCUGGCUAAUUUUUGUAUUUUUUGGAGAGACGGGGUUCCACCAUGGUGCCCAGACUGGUGUCUUCAGUCCUUAGUUCAAUCAAUCUGCCUACCUUGGCCUCCAAAAGUACUAGGAUUAUAGGCAUGAGCCACCGCGCCCAGCACCAUUUGUUUUUUCUAAUAAGAACAUGGAAAAUGCCAUAGUGAACUUUAUUUCAAAAAUACAUAUCUUUGUUUUUUUUUUUUUUUUGAGACGGAGUUUCGCUCUUGUUACUCAGGCUGGAGUGCAAUGGCGCGAUCUCAGCUCACUGAAACCUCCACCUCCUGGGUUCAGGCAAUUCUCCUGCCUCAGCCUCCUGAGUAGCUAGGAUUACAGGCAUGCGCCACCAUGCCCAGCUAAUUUUCUGUAUUUUUAGUAGAGACGGGGUUUCACUAUGUUGACCAGGAUGGUCUCGAUUGACCUAGUGACCCACCCGCCUCGGCCUCCCAAAGUGCUGGGAUUAUAGGCUUGAGCCACCGCGCCCGGCCAAAAAUAUGUAUCUUCUUAUCCUAAUUCCUGUACCAUGCAUUCUGUCCCUACGCGCGCACGAACGCGCACACACACCCCCCAUAGCAACCAGAAGACUCCGUAUGGUAUCUCAGAACAGUCUCUAACAUGAAAGCAGAAUUUUAUGUUUUAUAUUAUACAAGAGUAGAACAUUUAAAAAGUCUGUGACUGCUUGAGAGUAAUUUAAGAUAUUCUUUGUCAUCCCUUUUUUAGUUCAUAAAUGUUUGGCUCUGUUUGGAGUGGGGGAAAAAGUGAAGGCACAGUGUGACUGUGUUAUAUUUUCAUCUGUACCUUUUACCCAGCCUGUGAGCAGUUGUGAAUAGACAGUUGAGAGGGUAGGUUUUCAUAGGAUUUAUCAGAGAAAUAACAUAUGUUUUAAAAAUCCAGAACUUUAAUCACAAAAUAUAUAUCAUUUAGUAGCAAAACUUUGUGAAUAAUAUAUUAAGGAUACUUUUGAUCAUUUCAACAUAAGUAAAGCAGUUUGGGGAAUUUUGAGGAAGUAAUAUUGUAGAUCAGGGAUCUCCAGCUCAUAAACUUGUCAGGAAGGGGACAGGCAGUUGACAGUGAGUACACCUCUGACAAGGUGGGUACAGCUGUAGUCAUGGCUACUUGGGAGGCUGAUGAGGGAGGGUUGAUUGCUUGAGCCUAACAUCAAGGCUGCAGUGAGCCAUGGUUGCACCAGUGCAUUCUAGCCUGGAUUACAGAUCAAGUUCCUAUUUGUUAAUAAAAAGUAUAUACAGGUGUUCUAAUUAGGAAAAUAUACAAUCCUCUUUGUACUUUACAUCUUUUCAUUCUACUAGGAACAUGUAUUAAUCAAAAAAGGUAAGCUAUAGUGGGCACUAGCUUAAUUAAGUGAUCAGACUUGGUUAUACUAAUACACUAAUGGCAGUUAAGUCCCAGUAUAUAUACAUAUAUCAAAAUAUGUUGUACACCAUAAAUGUAUACAAUUUUUUAUUUUUUUGAGAUGGUGUCUCACUGUUGCCCAGGCUGGAGCAUAAUGACGUGAUCUUGGCUCACUGCAACCUCUGCCUCCUGCGUUCAAGCGAUUCUCCUGCCUCAGCCUCUCAGGUAGCUGGGACUACAGGUGUGUGCCACUACGCCCAGCUGACUUCCUGUAUUUUUAGUACAGACAGGGUUUUACUCUGUUAGCCAGGUUGGUCUCCAUCUUCUAACCUCGUGAUCUGCCCACCUCGGCCUCCCAAAGUGCUGGGGUUAUAGGCAUGAGCCACCACGCCCAGCCUACAAUUGGUAUUUGUCAGUUAGACCCAAAUAAAGCUGGGGAUGGGGGAAGACCCCGUGUGAUCAGAUCCUCUGAUGUUUCAAGAGAAGCUUGAAAGUUGGAUUCUCGUCCAGGUGCGGUGGCUCACACCUGUAAUCCAAGCACUUUGGGAAACCAAGGUGGGUAGAUCACCUGAGGUCAGGAGUUUGACCUGGCCAACAUGGUGAAACCCUGUCUCUACUAAAAAUAACGAAAAUUAGCUGGGCGUGGUGGUGAGUGCCUGUAAUCCCAGCUACUCGGGAGACUGAGGCAGGAGAAUUGCUUGAACUUAGGAGACAGAGGUUGUAGUUAGCCGAGAUGACACCACUGCACUCCAGCCUGGGUGACAGGGCAAGUCUCAAAAAUAAAAAAGGAAAGAACGCUGGAUUCUCAUGUAAGAUCUUCUGAUCUUUCAAUGUGGGCAACUAAUUUUAAGAAAUGGCUUUUUUAAAUGUCAGAGUAAUAUCUGCAUAUGAAUUAAAAAGACAGCAACAGUAGUAGUACUGAAAGGCUCAUAGUGAAAAACAACCGAAGUAUGUGUUAAUUGAAUGAGCUGUGUUCUGGAUUUUAACUAUUUUAAACUGUAAAUUGAUAAACUCCAAUCUCUUAGAAGAUAAUUUUUGCUUUUUAGUCUCCUAAAGCAAAUAAAAGUUUCUAACCUUAGGAAUAUUUUACUGUUAAAAUAUUAAAAUUAGAAAGUGUAUCUAGAUGCAAAUUGCUAUAAAUCAGGAGAGACAAUGAGUUAGCCCUGUUUCUUUAAAAGCAGGCUUUAUUUAGAUGGCAUUUUCUGAAUUUCCAUUAUUUAAUUUUUAAAGAAUUCUAAAUCACAUGAAUAUGAAUUUCUCAUUACAGUGUACAUGUCUGGCCUAUGGCUUUAUCUUUAAAAUCAGUACUAAAAUAGGCAAAUAAUUUUUCUAAUGUUUGAUAGUUGUCAAAAUAAAAAGUUGGAGAGAAAAUAAGCAUAAAUACUUAUUAUAUACCAGCUGUAUUCAAGAUCCUGAGCUGGAAGCUCCAAAGGACGGUAAUGUGGUAGAUGCUACUUUCCCUAAGACAAAUUGUGUAUUUGUCAGCGCUGCCAUGUCUGUCAUACUACCGUGCUUUUACUUUUACUUGGUAAGAAGACAGAUACUUUUAGUUCCUUUGUUCACAGCACUGUCAUAUAUAAUAAUCAUCAUGUCUUAGUUCAUUAUAUGUGAGAAUUUUAUUCUGAUAAUUUAUUCUUUUAAAGGAUUUAGUGGGAAAUGUGGCUCCAUAAUAAAAAUUUCAGGAAAGCCUUUGUUCACCUAACAUGGACAUAUAUUUUUGUGUGAGGAAUUUGUUGUUGUUUUUUUUUUGAAACAGAGUCACACUGUCACCCAGGCUGGAGCGCAGUGGUGCACUGUCAGCUCACUGCAGCCUCCACCUCCCAGGUUCAAGCGAUUCUCCUGCUUCAGCCUCCAUAGUAGCUGGGAUUUCAGGCGCGUGGCACCACACCUGGCUAAUUUUUGUAUUUUUAGUAGAGACGGGUUUCACCAUGUUGGUCAGGUCGGUCAUGAACUUCUGAACUUGCAAUCCGCCCACGUCGGCCUCCCAAAAUGCUGGGAUUACAGGCUUGAGCCGCUGCACCUGGCUGCGAGAAAGUAUUUUUAUUCUGCCCUCCUAGGAAAACUUAUACAAAGAAAUAUAGCAAAAGAAGUUAAAAGCUUAUUCUUAGAAUUUUGGCUAAAUGCAGUGGCUCACGCCUGUAAUCCCAGCACUUUGAGAAGUCAUGGUGGGAGGAUCGCUUGAGCCCAGGAGUUCGAGACCAGCGUAGGCAACAAAGGGAGACCUUGUCUCUACAAAAAAAUGUUAAAAAUGGGCUGCACAUGGUGGCAUGCACCUAUAGUUCCAGCUACUCAGGAAGCUGAGGAGGGAGGAUCCCUUAAGCCCAGGAGUUUGAGGCUGCAGCAAGCUGUAGGCAACAGGUCAAGACCCUGUCUCUUGAAAAAAGAAAGAAAGAAAGAAAAAAUAAUUGACUAUAUAUAAAGUGAUUAGAGAAAGCAUAUCAUAUUUUUUUCUUUAUUUUUCAUUUUUUUUCUUUUUUUAAUCUUUUUUUAUUUGCUUUUUCUUGCACAUCAUAUUUUAAUGUAGAAGGUGGUGUGACGCAGUUUUACAUUAGAGAAUGUAAUUUUUUACAUUAGACAGAAUGAAUCCCAUAGAUCUCUGGCGUUUCCUUUCAGGCUCAUAAGUAAAUUGGUAUUGAAUCUCCUGUUUCUGGCAGCUGAGAACUUAGGGCCUUCCGUCUCACUUACAGUUCAGGGAUGAAAGCAAACCUUGGCAUAGAUAUAGACCCCGGUGAAGGGCCUGGCUGAGGUGCAGUUGUGUUGAUUCCUCUGCUCAGCUUUUGCUCUGUGCUCACGUGGCCGAGUGUAAUUCAACACUGGCCCCAGAGCCAUGUUCCUAAUAGAACUGCCUCUCUCUCUUUUCAGUGAAGCGUCUCUGCUCCAAGACUGUUACGAAAUGGUGAAUGGCUGCCCCUGGGUUAUUUCCGUGAUUACUUCUAGAGUCAUCAUUAAGAUGAUUGACUUUUUAGGGACUCGGUUAUUUUGUUUUUUUAGAAAUUCAUAGUAGAUACUAUUGACUAUAUGAAAAGUGGUAUUCUUAAUGUUAUUACAUAUUUGUGUUAGUAACCAUUUUAGUUUUAAAUAUAUAGGAGCUGUUGACUAAGAAUAUCCGUUAGAGUGGUUUGUAAAGUUUUAACCCGAAAAAUGGAGACAUACUGGGUGCAGUGGCUUAUGCCUGUAAUCCCAGUACUUUAGGAGGCCGGGGGCAGGAGGCUUACUUGAGGCCAGGAAUUCAAGAAUACAGUGAGCUAUGAUCAUGCCACUGUACUCUGUCCUGGGCAACCAAGUGAGACCCUAUCAUGUUCCUAGUAGAAUGAAAAGACAGAAAGUGCAAAGAAGAUUAUAUAUUACUCUAAUUCCGUGGCUAAUUAGAAAAUUUUCUUUUUUCUUUCUUUUUUUUUUUUUGGAGAUGGAGUUUCACUCUUGUUACCCAGGCUGGAGUGCAAUGGCACGAUCUCGGCUCACCGCAACCUCCGCCUCCUGGGUUCAGGCAGUUCUCCCACCUCAGCCACUUGAGUAGCUGGGAUUACAGGCACGCGCCACCAUGCCCAGCUAAUUUUUUGUAUUUUUAGUAGAGACGGGUUUCACCAUGUUGACCAGGAUGGUCUCAAUCUCUUGACCUUGUGAUCCACCCGCCUCGGCCUCCCAAAGUGCUGGGAUUACAGGCUUGAGCCACCACGCCCAGCCUGAAAAUUUUCAAGCAUACAAGAAAAAUUCAAAAAUAGUAAACCAAACACUAUACUUUCUUCUAGAUAAAUCUUUUGACCUUUUGCAUACUUGCUUUUUCUUUCUAUAUUUUUACUUUUUUUUUUUUUUGCUGUUCCAUUUGAAUGUAAAGUUGUAGAUAGUGUGACACAUCACUCCAAAAUUCUAUUCUUUAGCAUGUAUGUCUUUCUUUCUUUUUUGUGACAGGAUCUCCCUGUGUCACCCAGGCUGGAGUACAGUGGCACAAUGUCUGCUUACUGUCACCUCCACCUCCCAGGCUCAAGCAGUUCUCCCAUCUUAACCUCCUGAGUAGCUGGGACUAUAGGCAUGAGCCACGACAGCCAGCUAAUUUUUGUAUUUUUUGUAGAGACAGAGUUUCGCCAUGUUGUCCAGGCUGGUCUUAAAAUCCUGGGUUCUAGAGAUCCACAUGCCUUGGCUUCCCAGAGUGCUGGGAUUAUGGUCUACUGUGCCCGGCCCUUCUUUCUUUGUGCUUGCCCACCCUCCCUCUCUUCCUUUCCUUUUUUUUCCUUUUAAAAUUUAGAUUUAGGGGAUAUAUGUGCACAUGAGUAUAUUACAUGUUGCUGAGGUUUUGGUUUCUAAUGACCCUGUCACCCAAGUAGCAAACAUAAUACCUGAUGAGUCAUUUUUCAGCCUCCUCUCACCCCACUUUUAGAAGCCCCAGUGUUUAUUGUUUCAAUCUUUGUAUGUGUGUGUACUCAGUGUUUAACUCCCACUUAUAAGUGAGAACAUGCAGUAUUUCGUUUUCUGUUUCUGUGUUGAUUUGCUUAGGAUAAUGGCUUUCAGCUAUAACCACAUUGCUUCAAAGGACAUGAUUUUGUUCUUUUUUAUGGCUACAUAGUAUUCCACUGUGUAUAUGUACACUUUCUUUGUCCAGUCCACCAUUGAUGGGCAGCUGGGUUGAUUCCAUGUCUUUGCUGUUGUGCAUAGUAGCAUGUAUCUUUUUGAAAUAAGACCAGUCUCCUACAUAACCAUUGUCAUACCUAAGAAAAUUUAUAAUAAUUCCAUAAUAUUAUUCAAUAUUGACUCCAUAUUCAAAUGUCCCCAGUUACCAUGAAAUGUUUGUUAUAUUUGUUUCCUCACUAGGCCUUAACCUAGGUUCAUAUAUUACUUUUGGUUGUAUGUUUUCUCAGACUGUUUUAUCAUAGAACUAUAUUUCUCUUCUUUCCACAUGCCUAUCCCCCAUGCUACUAUUUAGGAGAGUGCAGGGUAGUUGUCUUAUAAAAUGCGUCACAUCCUGGUUUUGUCUGAUUGUUUCCUCCUGGUUUCCUUUAACUUGUUUCCCCUUCCUCUGUAUAUCCAGCAACUUAGUCUAAAACAGUGCCAUCCGAUAGAACUUUCUGAAGUGAAGGAAAAGUUCGGUAUCUUCACUGUUUACUAUGGCAGCCACUAGCUGCCUUACGUAGCUAGUUAAACUAAUUAAGGCUUUCUGGGCACACUGCCUGUGGGAUAGUUCUGCUCCACAAGAAGCAGUAAAACAACAACAACAACAAAAACUAACUAAUUAAAAUUAAAUAAAUGUAAAAUUCAGUUUCUUAGUUAUACUAGCCACAGUUCAAGUGCUCAGUAGCUACAUGUGUAUGAUGGUCACCAUUUUGAACAGCACAGGUCUAGGGGCUUGAUUGGUUGAGGAUAAAUAUUUUUGGCAAGUUGCUGCAUUGAUGUACUGUGUGCUUCCUGAUGCUCAUGUCACUUGAGGUUCUAGUACCUGGGCACCUUGGUGAGAGUGUAGUACUGCUCAGUGAUUUGCACACCCGUGGAAUGGAUUGGGAAGGAUAGUGAUGGUUGAUCUUCCCUGAGAUUUCCCACUAGAAUUCUAAGCAGAGAGGAAAUAGUAAGUGAAAAAAAUAUAUAUUACACCUCACUGAUUAUCAGAUAAAUGCAAAUUAAAACAAACUGGCAUCUUGCUCUUAUUAGAUUAGCCAAGAUUUUAAAACUAAUUCUAUGAAUGGUGAAUGAGACCACACAUAUUAUGACUUUUGAUGAAGGAGACCGCACAUAUUAUAACUUUAACGAUGUCUGUGCUAUCUCGGACCCUAUAUACCAGUCAUUCUAACUACUUUCCAUUCCAGGGUACCCCACACACCUGACAUAACGCACGUGAUUCCCUCCUGCUAGAAACGAUGCCUUGUCCUCUUGCCACCUGGAGACGGUUUUCAGCUUAGUCACUACAUUUUAUCGAAGCUUUCAUGACUUUCCAUGUUGAUAUAUAAGUGCUUUUUUCACCAUCUCCUAAUAUAAAUUUCAGGCUUUUCAAGAGUAUUUUCAAAUAUUGGAUACAGAUACGUUGUCAUCUCAGGUUCCCGACUCAUAACUGUCACAGCCUUUUGGAGCUACAGUCUUUUGUUAUAAUGUUGGUGUACUGUAGGCCUCAGGAGCAGGCCUCAGAAAACAGAAUUGCUGCCUCUGACUUUCUCCUGCCCUCCUUUCACCUGCCCAAGGCAAGACUCUGAUCUUUCUCUGCCUUUCUGAUUGUGGGUUACAAGAUCCUCAUUCCAGAGAGGGUCAUGCCCCAUAUAUUGGAGGAGGAAAUCCUGCACAGAAAGGCCAAGAAUCUGAACAAACAGGCCUUGCUAGGUUUUCCUACUCAGUGGAUUAGUAUUAGCUCAUACCCUUUGUGUUCAGUCAGUUUCAACAUGGUUGUCCAAUCAUGCCUAUCCAAUGAAGUCUCCAUAAAAGGCCUAAGAGGACAGAGUUCAGGGAGCUUCUGGGUAACUAAACACAUGGAGGUUCCUAGAGAGCAGCACACCCAAGGAAGGCAGGUUCCCCCAACCUCGCCCUGUGCAUCUCUUAAUCUAUAUGGCUUAUCAUAUAUAUUCUAACAUACUGGUAAAUGUGAGCUUCCCUGAGUUUUGCGAGCUGCUUUAGCAGUUGAGCCCAAAUAGGAGAUCUUGGGAACCCCAGCUUGAAACUAGUCAGUCAGAAGUUCCAGAGGCCCGGACUUGUGACUGGUGGAAGGAAGAAGAGUCUUGUGAGACUGAGCCCUCAGCCUGUGGUUUCUGAGGCUAUCUCCUGAUAGAUAGCUUCAGAAUUGAAAUGGAUGGCAUCCUGCUGGCAUCAUAGCUUCAGAAUUGAAUUGGAUGGCACCCUGCUGGUAUCCACUGCAGGACUGAUUGCUGCUUGGUGUGGGGGAGGAAAACCCCUACACAUUUCAUUACAGAAGCCUUCUGUGUUGGUUGAUUGGUGUGAGAGCAGAGAAAAAAAUAUGGUUUGAGUUUUCUCCACCUCACAGCUGUCAUUUUCUACCAUUCCAGUCAUUUCUUUUACUGUCCCAGUUCUGUUGUCCUAGAGGAGCCCUGUCUCUCCUCUCUUGCCACAGGCUUGGACACAUUGAUAAAUCUUCUAACUUUCUAUGCAUUUUGGUUAUAUCUCACUCCAGCGUUUUCACUUCUGAGUAUGUGCUGAGAAGUGCUUACUUAUGAGCACAAAGAAGCAUUUAGAGGCCGGGCAUGGUGGCUCACACCUAUGAUCCUAGCACUUUGGGAGGCCAAGGUGGGAGGAUCAUUUGAUCACAGGAGUUUGAGACCAGCCUAGGCAACAAUAGUAAGACUCUAUCUCCAUUUAAAAAAAAUGUUUUUGUUAAGAAGCAUGUACAAGAGUUUCAUCACAACUUUAUUGGUAAUAACAAAAAAUUAGAAAUAAUCUAAGUGUCCACUGACAGGAGAAUGGUUGUGUUAUUUAUGGCACAUUCAUAUUUUGUAUUACCAUCCAAGAGUUUAAAAAUAAUGCAGGAAAUCUGUGUAUCCCAACACAGAGCAACCUCUAAGACGUACAGUUAAAUGUUUGUUGAAGAUAAGGAUCCCAUCUAGGUAAAGUAAAAUGUACGAAAACGUAUCUGUAUGUGUUCAUACAUGUAUUAAUAUAUAAAGUGAAAUCUGGCAGGGAAAACAUUCAACUCUUUAGAGUGAUUACCUCUCGGGAAGGAACUGGGACUGAAAGGAAGCUAUGAAAACUUUUGUUUUAUCUAUAGUUUAAAAAAAUUUUUCACAACCCCAUCACCUUUUCCAGAGUCUGGGCAGAAAUAUGAAGCAGUUGGGCAGUUGUAAAAGUUAAAGUACUUAAGGAUCCAGCCACCUCCUCCCCCAAGAAUUCUAAAGGGAUCUAUUUGAGUUUAGAAAAGUUAAAAUUAGAAUUGCUGAAAUUCUGUUCUAUAUUGUCUUCUCCUUGGGUACGAGGAAAUGAAAGCGAAGACGUCUCUGGGGGCAGAUGGCAGAGCUUGAGUUAGGUUUUUGCUUUUGGUGCAAGUUUAUUUUCAGCUGGUAAACCUGACCUUGCUAUUCUUAGAGUUUUAAUUUUUUUAAUUUAAAUUAAAAUGUUUUGUGAGGAUAAGAUUAAUUGGGAAAGAGAUGGUUCACAUGGAGAUCAUUGAGACAGUUGACUGUGUUUCCAGAGGCCUGGGUUAAUCUUUAAUGGGGUAAAAGACACUUUGACUAGAGGCAAUCCAUGAAGAACCAUCAGAUGUGUUAAUCAGCCUGAUAACUAGAGCAUAUUGCUCUUAUAUAUAUUUAUGUGACCUCUGUUGGUGGUGCUGACUUUUAUAUAUUGAAAAGCUAUUAGUUACCUGUUGCUACCUAACAAAACUUAAAGUAAGGAUAAUUAUUUGUUAUCUCAUGCUUUCUGUCAGACAUGAAUUCAGACAAGGUACAGCCAUAUACCAUGUUGUCUGGGGCCUCAGGUGAAAGCGUCAGAGGCUGAGAGCAAAACACUAGGGGGAGAAAAGCUUGAAUACCUUUUUCCAGUAGGCUUCCAGGACUCUGCUGGUUUUUCUCCUACAUCUGAGUUGUUCUUGCUCAUUCCUCCCUCUCUCUCUACCUCUUAACAUUGAAUGCCUUGGAAUUUGGCCCUUUGUCUUUUCAUUCUUUGUCUGCUUCUUAUUUAUUCCUUGGUGAUCUCUUCUAAUCUGGAGGCUUUAAAUACAAUAGGUAGAUGGUUGGAUUAGUAGGUAGGUAGGUAGGUGGAUAGAUGGAUGAGUAAUCUAUCCCCAACCACUAUUCUCCUUAACCUGCCUACUUGGUAUUUUCAUUUGAAUGUUCAAUAGCCGUCCGAAACUCAGUAUGUGUAAACCUUGAUUCUACCCAAACCUGCUUCUCCAGCAGUCUUCCCCAUCUCAUUAAAUGGCAGUCCAUCUUUUAAGUUACUUAACCCAAAAACCUAGAAGUCAUCCUUGAUUUUGUACUUUUCUCAUACCUAAUAUCUAGUUCAUCAGCAAAUGCUGUUGGCUCUGCCUUCAGAAUACGUGUGUCUAGAAUCCAACCUCUUCUCACCAUCUUUUUUACUAUCCCCCAGUCUAAGCCAUUGUUACCACUCACCUCAGUUCCUUAGCUACGCCUCCUAUACCCUUGCCCUCUUCGUUCUACUACUUUCAACAUGGUAGGCAAAAUGAUCCUGUAAAAACAAACCAACAAACAAAAACAGGUCAGAUCUUGGCUUUCUAAGCUGAAGCCCUUAGAUUGGUCUAUGAUCUGGCUCCCCUGGAACCUCAGCUCUCACUCUCCUCUCUUUCUCACUGAGCUCCAGCCAUACUGUAGCCUCCUUGCUGCUCUAACAUCAGCACUCGUCCCUCUCAGUGCCCUUGCAAUUGCUGUUCCCGCUGCCUAAAUCGCCAUGGUUGGAAAUACCGUCUUAUAUUAAACCUGGAGGAGAGAGACUUCAUCCUGUUGCUUUUUUCAAUGCUUUAUGUAGUAAGUGCCUUUUAUUGGUGAAGAAAUGCCAUGGAACUGAGGAUGGGAAAUUAAGUUUCAAAUAACAGAAUGUGUUUAUAUUAGAAGUAGCAGGUCCAAACAUUCACAUCUAUGCCAGAUGAAAUACUGUUAUUCAUCCACUUACCUACCAUUCUUGCUCAUUCAUAUCUCUUCCAUAUGAAACAGUCCUGUCCUUCGGAACAGGCAGGAAUUUCUAGGAGACUCUCUAAUGCCACUAAAAUGUUCAUUUCAUUUGGCUCCAUUUUUGUUGUUCUUUACUACCUUUUGUGAUUCAGGGGGAAUAAGAGGGCAGUCUGGGAUGCCAUCUGAAUAACUAAUUCUGUCAGUUGAGAGACUUGGUAGGGGUCCACAUCAGACCCCAAAAUAGAUACGGUUUUAGUUUCAAAAUAAGCCAUAAAAACACUCUCAAAAGAGCCAAGGUUUUGGUCCAGGUGUGGUGACUCACACCUGCAAUCCCAGCGCUUUGGGAGACUAAGGUGGGAGGAUUGGUUGAGAUUAGGAGUUCAAGACCAGCCUGGCCAACAGAGAGAGACCUGUCUCUACAAAACAAAGUGAAAAGAGCCAGGCUUUUGAAGUGGGUUUCUAGAGUGGAAAAUAAGGCAGUCAAAGAAGGGAAGAGAUUGUUUUUAACCAAGAUGACCAGAGCUCCUCUAUGACAUCCUUUAGCAGAGAUUUAUGAGAACAGAAGAAAGACGAUCAGCUAUUUAUGGCCGUGUGACCACUAAAGCUCUGGGUGUAAAAUUGAAUGAGGACAUCACUGAGAAAAUCCUUAAACUUGAGAAGCCUAAGGUAGUUUGCCUGUCAUAUAUGGAGACUGCGAUGUUAAGUGGAAUUUAUUUUUAUGGGGUCAUAGAAUCACAUUGUUGAAAGGAUGUCAAGAGGUUAUCUAUCUUAAAUCUAUACUUUGGUCAAACAGAAACCUAUAACUAUGCAGGCCUUUAGUUUUUUCUUUUGGAUACGUGUUUAUAAAAGAUAUGUCUGUACAUGAUCUAAAUGAGUAAAAUUUUUUUGAGACACGAUUGUGUGCUGUCUUAAAAAAUUUUUUUUUAAUGAAAUAAAUUACCUUUAAUGCCAUCCAAUAGUGAGAUGCCACCACUCACUUAUUAGAAUGUCUAAAAUAGAAAAUGAUGUCAUUUUGCAGAUUGAGAAUAAGAAAGGUAGUGCAGCUUAUUGCUGCUUUCAAAGAAACUAUUUACUUCUGGUGAGUGAAUGCAAUAGAUGUGAUAUUAAAUGUUUCAGAAAGAACAAGACCACCUUUGUAGUGAUAUUUGGCAAAGUUGAAAUUUUUUGUCAUUUCAAACUGAAACUGCCAGUUCUGCCUUUAAAAUGAGAGCUAGAAAAUUGAGGAGCCUUUCAGGUAUAUGAGAACCAGAAUCACUUAAGACUGCAAAACCAGUUUUUCUUAAGUGUUUGUUCCCCUCCACUCCCUUUUUAAAACUAGGCCUUCAUACAGAUUUUUUAGAUUUUCAGGUAGUCUAAAAUGCAGAAGAUUUAUGUAAUACCCCUGUAGUAACUUCAAAUUCAAAAAAUAAUUUAAGGUUCCGUUUAAAUAAACUUAUCUCCCCUGCAGAAGGUGUUCUGAUUAAUUUUCCCAGCAGCAGAGAUCAGGAGGUUGGUAUGUGCAUAGGCUUUAAAAUCAAAGAAAUCUAGGUUCUAAUCCUGGAGCUGAUACUUAACUGCGUAGUAUCGGCAAAUUAUUUAUCACCUCUAGUUAUCAGUUUUCUUGUCUGGAGUGUAUAAAUCAUGUUAAUACCUGCUUCACAGAUAGACAUUUAGUAAGAACUCAAAUGCUAGGUAUUAUUAUUACUAGAAAAUAAGACUAAAAAGGCCUUGAAUCACACAGUGACUUGUGACCUGAAUCCUCAGGAGUGUCUCCCAAAGCCCUGGAUUUUCAUCUUCUCUUUUCCCCUCCCAUCACCGUAUUACUUUUGUCGGGAGGAUGCUAGUUAAGUUAAUGAACUAUAUGAAUAAUUUUAGGUUACUUUAUGUAGUUAGGAAAGAAACCACUUUUGGCAUUAGGGUUUUAAUUAAUUUUUUUUUUCUUGAGCAGAGUCUCGCUCUGUCACCCAGGCUGGAGUGCAGUGGUGUAAUCUCAGCUUACUGCAGCCUCUGCCUCCUGGGUUCAAGGAAUUCUCCUGCUUCCGCCUCCUGAGUAGCUGGGACUACAGGCGCGUGCUGCCACGCCUGGCUAGUUUUUUGUGUUUUUAGUAGAGAUGGGGUUUCACCAUGUUGGCCAGGAUGUUUUCAAUCUCCUGACCUCAUGAUUCACCUGCCUCAACCUCCCAAAGUGUUGGGAUUUCAGGCGUGAGCCACAGCACCUGCCCCCACCCCCGCCCUUUUUUUUUUUUGAGACACAGUCUUACUCUGUCAGUGAAGCUGGAAUACAGUGGCAAGAUCCCAGUUCACUGCAGCACCCACUUCCCAGGUUCAAGUGAUUCUCCCUCAGCUCCUGCAAGUAGCUGGGAUACAGGCACAAGCCCCCACGCCUAGCUAAUUUUUAUAUUUUUAUAGAAACAGGGUUUCACCAUGUUGGUCAGGCUGGUCUCAAACUCCUGGCCUCAAGUGAUCCAUUCACCUUGGCCUCCCAAAGUGCUGGGAUUAUAGGCAUGAGCCACUGUGCCCAGCCAGGGUUUAUUAUUAUUAUUUUUUUAAUGCUCACAUAUUUUAAUUGGAAAAAAAAAAAAAAAAAAAAACAGUCGCUUGAAACCAGGGAGGCGGAGGUUGCAGUGAACCGAGAUCAUGCCACUCCACUCCAGCCUGGGCAACAGAGUGAGACUCAGUCUCAAAAAAAAAAAGUUUUCCUCUAAGCACCACUUUCACUGCCUCCCACAAAUUGAUGUUAUAUUUUUAUUUUUAUUCAAAUAUUUUCUCGAGAUUUCUGCUUUCAUAUGUUAUUUAGAAGUGUGUUUGAUCUCCAGAUAUUGGGGGAUUUUCCUAUUUCAGUUAUUGAGUUUUUUGCUUUUUUUUUUUUUGGAGAUAGGGUCUCAUUAUGUUGCCCAGCCUGGUCUUGAACUCCUGAACUCAGGCGAUCCUCCCGUCCUGGCCUCCCAAAAUGCUAGGAUUAUAGGCGUGAACCACCAUGCCCAGCCAAGUUAAUUGACUUUUUAACUCCAUUGUUGUCCGAGAGCAUACAUUUUUGUGAUUACUGUUUUUUUUUAAUUUGUUAAGGUGUGUCUUGUAGUUCAGAAUGUGGUCUCUCUUGUUGAAGUCCAUGUGAGCUUGAGAAUAAUGUGUAUUCUGCUGUUGUUGGACGAAAUGGACUAUAGAGGUCACAGAUAUACAUUUGAUUUUCUGCCCUCUAGAUCUGCCUCUUUCUGAUAGGGGCUUAUUGAAGUCCCCAGCAGUAAUAAUGGAUUCAUCUGCUUCUCCUUGCAGUUCUAUCCAUUUUUGCCUCAUGUAUUUUGAUGUUCUAUUGUUAGGCAUAUACACAUUAAGGAUUAUCAUGUCAUCUUGUAGAACUGACCCCUUUAUCAUUAUAUAAUAUUUCUCUAUUCCUGGUAACUUUCCGUGCUCUGAAGUCUGCUUUGUCUGAGAUUAAUGUAGUUACUCCUGCUUUCAUAUGAUUAGUGUUAGCAUGGUAUGUAUCACUCUCCAUCCCUUUACUUUUAAGGUAUGUAUUUUUAUACUUAAAGUGGGUUUCUUAUAGACAACAUAUUAGAUGACUCUACUGUGAUGUACUCUGACAGGUCAUUCUCCUUUUUUUUUUUUUUGAGAGAACAUCUCACUCUGUCUCCCUCCCAGGCUGGAGUGCAGUGGUGCAAUCAGUGCUUAUUGCAUCCUUGACCUCCCAGGCUCAAGCAGUCCUCCCACCUCAGCUUCUUGAGUAACUGUAAUUACAUGUAGGCACACAUCACUAUGCCCAGCUAAUUAUUUAUUUCUUGCCGAGACAGGGUCUCUCUGUGUUUCCCAGGCUGAUCUGGAACUUCCAGGCUCAAGCGAUCUUCCUACCUCCCCUCCCAAAGUGCUGGGAUUACUGGUGUGAGCCACCACACCUGGCCUUUGUUUUUUGUUGUUGUUGUUUUUUUAUCUUUGCUUUUCGAGUUGGAGUUUUUCUCUGUCUCCCAGGCUGAAAUGCAGUGGCACAAUCUCAGCUUCCGGCAACCUCAGCCUCCUGAGUAGCUGGAGUUACAGGCAUGUGCCACCCACCAUGCCCAGCUAAUUUUUGUAUUUUUAGUGGAGAUGGGUUUUUGCCAUGUUGGCCAGGCUGGUCUCAAACUCCUGACGUCAAGUGAUCCAUCCACCUCAGCCUCCCAAAGUGCUGGGAUUACAGGCGUGAGCCACUGCGCCCAACCCUAUCUUUUAAUUGAUGUAUUUAGACUAUUGAUGUUUAAAGUGAUUGUUGAUGUAGUUGGAUUAAUAUCCGCCAUGUUUGGUAGCUUUCUGUCCAUUGCUCUUUGUUCUCUGUUUCUGUUCUUGUCUUCCAUUCCUUCUUGGCCUUUUGUGGUUUUAAUUGAGCAUCUUAUUUUUCUCUUUCUUUUAUUCUUAUCCUACUUUCAUUUUAAUGAGUUCCUUGGAGGAAGAGGUGGGAUAUGUAAUCUACCACUACAUUUUUUGUUAAAAUUUUUAGAAGUCCCCUCACUCUUGCCCAGACUGGAGAACAGUGGUGUAGUCAUAGCUCACUUGCAAGCUCAAACUCCUGGGCUCAAGCAGUUCUCCCACCUCAGCAUCCUGAGUGGCUAAGACUGCAGGCAUGCCACCAUGCCUGGCUAAUUUUUUAAUUUUUGUAGAGAUGGGGUCUCGCUUUGUUGCCCUGGCUGGUCUCAAACUCCUGGCUUUUAAGCCAUCCUCUUGCCUCGACCUCCAAAAGUGCUGGCAUUACAAGCAUGAGCUACCGUACCUGGCCUCAACUUUUUUUAAGUUUUAGAAUUAUUAUUAUUUUUGUUAUCGUUAUUUUUAGAGACUUGGUCUUGAUAUGUUGCCCAGGCUGGAACUCCUGGACUUAUGCAGUCCUCCUACCCAGCCUCCUAAGUAGCUGGGAUUACAGAUACGUAACUCCACACCCAGCAUUUCAGAAUUAUAUCUCUUAUCAUUUUCUUUUGAAAGUAAUGAUAUAAAUGUUUUUGCUUCUCUCAGAUACUACACAGGAGUGUCUUGCUUUUAAUAGACUCCUUCACACAUUGCACAUAGGCCACAUUGUAAAUUUACUCAUUUCUGUGUAUGAUUUAUCUCAAAAGCAAGCAGUGUGUAAAAAAGAAUGGCUCCUUAGUCAAGGAACUGGUAUUUUUAAUUGACUAGGAGAGCCUAAUUUAAAGAUAUUUUACUGUUAGCAUACUUUCAGUGCAAAUAACUACCCUAAAUUACUUUUUAACUGCUUUUUAAAAACUGGAAUUAAAGAUAUCUUUGUACUCAGUCUAGUGGUCUGUGUUAUAACACAUAUUGAAUGCUACCCAUUGAUGAAUAGUAAGUUCAGUGGCUAAGUGUACAAAUUAGAAUGUGCCCUGUUAGAGAAUAUAGUACUGUAUUUGAGCUGGUUUGUGUUGGAACCCUGAAUAGAGGCGGAAUUACUGGGAUAGGAGCCAGUCGCCUUCUGAGAAAUGAACUGAGUCCAGAAGAGUCUUCCAAAACAGUUGUGUUUGCUUUCCCAUCCAGCUCCACAUUCCAGGAAAGGAUUUUUAGUCAUUAGGAAGUAUAUCCACAGCUUACUUUCCAUUUACUUCAAUAUAAUUAACAGUGGCUUCAGCAAAUACUAAAUGCAACCCUUGCCUCUGGAGAUUCCACAAUCAUUAAACUACCAACAGCUGCUGGAUUUAGACAAAUCUAACUUAUCCAUCUGAGUUGCCACUUAACAGCUUUCUCUUAAUUCCAUGUACUUGCAAAUGCAGGCUGCCUAUCACAAAGCUUGCUACACAGAAGUAAAUUUAAGGACUGCCAAGACAGUAUAGUAGGCAUGAACGUAUGUGCACCUAGUAAACCUUCAUCAAUAUAAAGUAAAAAUUGUCAGAGCAAUGGGGGAAAGUCGACAACUCAAUAGCCAUGUUAAAGACUUCAAAGCAUCUCAUUUUGUGCUUGAUAGUCCCUAUGAAGAACAAUAAAAUCUCAUUUAGAAAGCAAUUGAAAAAGUGGCAGACAAAACUUCCUUAACAAGUUUGAGCACAUAGCUAUGUUGAGAGAUAACCUUCCACCCAACAAAGAAUAUGUAAUUUUUCAAGCAUAGAUGGAAGAAUUAGAAAAACAUAACCAUAUGUUAAGUUGUAAAGGAAUUACUAACAUUCCACAGCAUCAGUAUUAUAGACUAUAUAUACUCUGAUAGAAUGCAGUAAAAUCAGAAAUCAACAACAGAGCCAGUGUGAAAGAGAGAGAAACAUAGGUUUGGAAACAAAUGUUCUAAGUAAUCCAUGAGUUAAAGCACAAAUCAUCAUAGAAGUAAGUAAAUAGAGCUGAAGAACUACGAAAGCACUCUACUUCAUGAUUUAUGGGAUACAGCUCAGUCAGUUCUUUGACACUUAGAUGUUUAUAUUAGAAACUUAAACAGACAUUAAAUAAAUUAAGCAGUCAACCCAAGAAGCUGGAAAAAGCAAGAGUAAGCCCAAAGGAAGUAAAGGGAUAGAAAUAACAUGGAAAGGGGUAGAAAUUAAUAGAAAAAUGGAAAUGACAAACAAAACCAAAAGUGGGUUAUUUUUGUCUAAUAAAAUAAACUGGCAAGAUCAAUACAAUAAAUAAGAAAGAAGACACAAAUGAACAAAAAAGGGAAAUAACCACAGAUUUAUAAUAGAGGUUUUUAAAUUAUAAGAAUGUUACAGGAACGAUCCAAGAUGGCCGAUCGCUAACAUCUUGGGAUUGCAGCUCCCAGUGAAACCUCAGAGAAUGAGAGGACGCCACACUUUCAGACAAAUUUUGGUCACUCACGGAGCAGAAGAUUCCCAGUGGAGGAGCUCCACGGGUUGCCAGCGCGACUCUUGUGGCCGGCGCAGCAGUUUCGCCAGCACCUCAGUGCGGCAGCUCUCAGUGCAGAGUAAACGGGACUGGUUCCCCUUCUGACCGAGGUUUGGAGGAGCACACGGGUUGCCAGCGCUACUCUUGUGGCUGGCGCAGUGGGUGUGCCGGCAUUUCGGCGCGGCAGCUCUUGGGGCAGAGUAAACGGGACUGGUUCCCCUUCUGACCGAGGGUUGGAGCUCCAGGAAGGCAGAGUCGCCUAUUACGGAUUCAAGAAGGAAGCCAGACUGGAGAUUCCUGGGCAGAAAAGCACCAUCAGUCUUAACGCCGCUGUUUUGGGCAGCACAGUGGGUUGCUCAUAUUUCGGCCCUGGAAAUUAACGACUUGGACGUCCACUCAGAGACCUAAUUUGAAAGUUGGUAAUUACAAAGACGACAGGUGGAUAAAUUUACAAUGAUGGGAAGAAACCAGCAUAAAAAGGCUGAGAAUGCCUCUCCCUCCAAAGAGGAUCACAGUUCCUCAUCAACAAGGGAAAAAGACUUGAUGGAGAACGAGCGCAUCCCAAUAACAGAAUCAGGCUUCAGAACAUGGAUAAUAAGAAACUUCUGUGAGUUAAAAGAACAUGUUGUAGCCCAAUGUAAAGAAACUAAGAACUUUGAAAAAAGGUUUGACGAAAUCCUAAUGAGAAUAGACAACUUAGAGAGGAAUAUAAGUGAAUUAAUGGAACUGAAGAAUACAAUGCAGGAACUCCGAGAAGUAUGCACAGGUUUAAACACUCGAAUUGUUCAAGCAGAAGAAAGGAUAUCAGAGGUCGAGGUCCAACUUAAUGAAAUAAAACGAGAAGACAUGAUUAGAGAAAAAAGGAUAAAAAGGAAUGAGCAAAGUCUCCAAGAAACCUGGGACUAUGUGAAAAGACCAAAUUUACGUUUGAUAGGUGUACCUGAAUGCGACCUGAGCUGGAAAAUAUUCUUCAGGAUAUUAUUCAGGAAAAUUUUCCUAAACUAGCAAAGCAGGUCAAUAUUCAACCCCAGGUAAUACAGAGAACACCACAGAGAUAUUCCUCAAGAAGAGCAACCCCAAGGCACAUAAUCGUUAGAUUCACCAGGGUUGAAACAAAGGAGAAAACACUAAGGGCAACCAGAGAGAAAGGUCAGGUUAAUUACAAAGGGAAGCCUAUCAGACUUACAGCAGAUCUCUCAGCAGAAACUCUACAAGCCAGAAGAGGUUGGGGGCCAAUAUUCAACAUCCUUAAAGAACAGAACUUUCAGCCCAGAAUUUCAUAUCCAGCCAAACUAAGCUUCACAACUGAAGGAAAAAUAAAAUCUUUUAUGAACAAGCAAAAACUCAGAGAUUUUAUUACCACCAGGCCUGCUUUACAAGAGCUUCUGAAAGAAGCAUUACACAUAGAAAGAAACAACCAGUAUUAACCUUUCUAAAAAUACACCAAAAAGUAAAGAGCAUCAACAUAAAGAGAAGAAUUUACAUCAACGAAUGGCUAAAACAGCCAGUUAACAUCAAAAGGCAGUAAUCCUAAAUUUAAAUCGACUAAAUUCCCCAAUCAAAAGAUACAGCCAAAACCCAACAAUCCAGACCCAUUUCACACGCAAGGAUACACAAAGACUCAAAACAAAGGGAUGGAGGAGAAAGAUUUACCAACCAAAUGGAGAGCAAAAAUAAACAAAUAAAUAAAAAGCAGGAGUUGCAAUUCUCAUAUCUGAUAAAAUAGAUUUUAAAGCAACAAAGACAUAGUGGUAAAAGGAUCGAUGCAACAACAAGAGCUAACGAUCCUAACACCCAGAUACAUAGAGACUUAGACUCAAUGAGACAGAAAUUUAAUAAGGAUAUCAAGGACUCGAACUCAGAUCCGGAACAAGUAAACUUAAUAAAUAUUUAUAGAGCUCUCCACUUUAAAUACACAAAAUAUACAUUCUUGUCAAUACCACAUCACACCUACUCAUAGGUUUAAAUGAAACAUUGAUUGACCAUUAUUAAUACCCAUUUUUUUUAGAAUAAAGCAACAUUUCUGUUCUCUCUCCCUCUUUUUCUUUCUCUUUAUUCCUCUUCUUCACUCCUUUUUUUUUCUUUCCUUCUUUCAAAAAAAGAAAAAAAAAAGAAAUCAACUUGUAGACCUCUAUAUCCAGUUCGGCAAUGUCUCUCAUUGCUUGAUUUCCUUCCUUCCCUUCUCUCCCUCCCUCCCUUCCUUCCUCCCUCCCUUCCUCCUUUCCAAAAAAAAAAAAAAAAAAGAAUGUUACAAAGAG